rnacentral:lncRNA from 1 species
AAAAACAUGAAGGAGUGGAAGCAAAAAAGUUCAUAAAAUGCAACUCUUCAUGUUUAUAUCCAAACAUUAUUGUUUUUCAAUAGGAGCAUGGAAUACUAUAGGAAUAGAGUAAGUAAGUUCAAACAAACAAAUGAAUUUUUUUUGAAGGUUCAUGACUCAAUAAAUGUAAAAAUGUACAUGGCAAUUAUGCAUAUAUAUAGAAAAAUUAAAGUGUGGAAUUCUAGUUAUUUUCCACGAGUAGUAC